rnacentral:rRNA from 1 species
GGGUCAGUAGGUUGGUCGUGCCACCGGUACGUACUGGUCUCACUGAUUCCUCCUUCCUGAAGAACCGUAAUGCCAUUAAUUUGGUGUUGUGGGGAAACAGGACUGUUACUUUGAAAAACUUAGAGUGUUUAAAGCAAGCUAACGCUUGAAUACAUUAGCAUGAAAUAAUGAAAUAGGACGAUCGAUCCUAUUUUGUUGGUUUCUAGGAUUGACGUA